GGGUCAGUAGGUUGGUCGUGCCACCGGUACGUACUGGUCUCACUGAUUCCUCCUUCCUGAAGAACCGUAAUGCCAUUAAUGUGGUGUUGCGGGGAAACAGGACUGUUACUUUGAAAAUAUUAGAGUGUUUAAAGCAAGCUAACGCUUGAAUACAUUAGCAUGGAAUAAUGAAAUAGGACGAUCGAUCCUAUUUUGUUGGUUUCUAGGAUUGACGUA
rnacentral:rRNA from 1 species